rnacentral:rRNA from 1 species
GACGUAGGGCGCGAGCGUUGUCCGGAUUUAUUGGGCGUAAAGAGCUCGUAGGCGGCUUGUUGCGUCGGCUGUGAAAACCCGCGGCUUAACCGUGGGCUUGCAGCCGAUACGGGCAGGCUAGAGUUCGGUAGGGGAGACUGGAAUUCCUGGUGUAGCGGUGAAAUGCGCAGAUAUCAGGAAGAACACCCGUGGCGGCAAAGGC